rnacentral:lncRNA from 1 species
ACUACUUUGUUGUUCUUCACAAUUAGUUGGAGCUUUCUUUGGUCAACAGCAGAUGUGACUAAGAAAAUCACGCUGUUUCACUUAGAGCAGUGGUCACCAAGUGUGGUCCUUAGGCCACACAGGUCAGCAUCACCUAGGAACUAGGAAAUGCAAGUUCUUAAGCAAUCCCACCCAGACCUACUGAAUUGGAAGUGCUGAGGAUGGGGUCCAGCAAUCUGUGGUUGAACAAGCUCUGCAGGCAUCCAGGAGCAGAGCUGUGGGGCAGCAGAAUCUGUGAUGACAGAGAAUGAUGAUGUAUUUUUGCCAGCAGAUGCUUUUGCUCCUGUUUUGAUACCCCAAUAUUCGGAUGCAGAAAAGGACUCUGAGCAUUGCUGACGGGUGUGCUCUGCACACCUAUCUCUUCAGGAUCUGAAUAAUUUGGUGGAAAGACAAUGCCUUUUCUGGAAAAGGGUGUCAGGUCAGUCAUAUUGGAGGAUGCAAAUUUCCUUAUGUGAUGGGAGUGAGGGUUGGGGUAGGGCACUUCACGGAGCAUUCAGCAGUCUGCAAUUAAGCAUCACUCCAAGGCUUUCUGCAUAGGUGAUGGCUGUUUCUGCAUCAUGGGGCAAACCAGGUGCUAGAACUUCAAAUGCCAAUUACCAAAGGCGCUUCCUGCGGAGGAAACCUCUCUACAACUCACCUGACCCAGAAGGCACACAUUUUUUUCUGGGUUAACAUAAAUGCUAAAAUUGAAGAAAUGAAACAUUCUAAAGGCAGGAUCAUGUAGGUGAGAUCCUUUGCCUCCUAAGCUUUUGUCCUGCCAGUCUUUUCUGUGCCUUACCAUGAUACCUGUGCUAGAAGUCUUCUGGGAAGCUCUUGUAUAGAACCUCCAACUCUGGCAGGGUUAGUCUUCAGGGAUGCUUCAGGCAGAGACCUUCUCAAUAUCUAUCCUUGCGUCACAUGGGCAUUGAGUAUAAGACAGCUGAGUUAGGGUCCUGUUCAGAGCCUGGGAUCAGGGAACCCGCAUAGUCUAAGGAAUACAGGAGUCCCUCUUCCCACUGCCAAGGACAAGUUUGCAAACCUGACUAGCGAAGCCCUUCUUCUGAUUAAGGCAACGUGGCCCCCUGGUUAUGAGUACAGAUUUCCAAAUCCAAUUAGUGUGGCUUUUAAUACCUGCUUUGCUAUCCAAUAGGCACAACAAUGAAAAAGUUGCCUAACUUUUCUCUGCCUUGAAUUCCUCAUCCAUAUAACAGAGAUGAAAAAACAAAACAAAACAAAAAUUUAUAGAUUAGAGUUAAAUGAGAGGAUUUGUGAAACUUCUGAUAGACAAAGCAUACUCAAAAAAUGGGAGUUUAUAAAAAGAACCAUCAACUAGCAAUGCAACCAAUUUAGACAAUUCCCUCUCCGGGUGUCUCGGCGUUCUGAUUCUAAUCUCUGAGAGCUGGCUCAGAACACAAGGGUGGCCCGCUUGGCCUCUAAAGUUUGAUGAUUCUCAGGUCCUGUAAAAGGACACUGAGGAAACCAUGAAAUGCCAGGGGAGGGACCAAGGCACUGUAACAGGGAAACCUGAGCCCACAGCGCCAUCUAGCCCGCUUGGCCCACGCCCCGCUGUGCCUGCAAGUGUAACCCGCCCAAGCAUCCUCCUCUUUUUAUUUUUUUAAAGUAUAAUUACCGGAGCUUAUGUUUCACAGUUAAUGCUGUCAAGCCUUUUAAACUAAUUGGUCUUUUAUAGAAAAUUUAACUGAAAAUUAACACAUCUUUUAAUAACAUUGCCUUAACUUUAAUGGCUCUCUGCCUUUCGUUUAUAAUUGCUCUAAAAUUGUCAUUUUCCAUGUCAUAGCUGCCAUUUUUUAUAUUUGCUAGUUUUCAUGGUGUAGAUUUUUAUUUUUAGUAUUUUUCUUUCGUGAGGGAUGAAAAUGAUUGGAUUUUUUUUUCCCUACCCCAGGCCUGCCUGGCCUGAUGUGACAGCAGUGGUCUGUCCUGAGUCUAGCAGGACAUACCUCCAUGUACCCGACUGACACCACUGCUAGCUCCUCUGCCUCGGGACGGCCAUGUGCCCUCUGUCUCCGUGUGAGCAGUUGAAAUGGAGGCUCUUGAGUGGAGUGUAAGAAAUAGGGUUAUGGAGCAAUAAAUUGUUUAUGUAACUAAAAUCACAUGGCAUUAGGUUAGCUUGGACUGAUAGAGAACUCAGGCCUCUCCAUAACACCAGGUUCAAGGGUUUGGCCCUUAAUGAAAGUACAGGAAAGACAGUAAAUCAUGUGAACCCACAUUCCAGACGGUCACACCCUCCAGUCUUACUGAUAUAACUUCGUUUCUGGCAAACAGGCCAGCUCUCUGAUAUUAAAGAUGAGAACAUGGAAUCAUAUCUUCUGGGUACCCCAACUCAUCUACCCACUAAGCUCCCAAAUAUUAUCUAAGAUGUGUGUUCAUGAAAGAGAGAAAGAGAGAGGAUAAGUGCACACAAACACAUAAAUAUAUAUACAUAUAUGUACAUGCAUAUAUACCAAAAAAAUCUGCUUCUUUGUAAUUACAUGUGAUCUUAAGAAAUA